UUAAUUCUUCAUUUCUACUACUAAACAAGAUAUUUUCAUGUGUGCGCAGUUUCGCAAUAUAAUAAAAAAAAUUAUUAUACAAUUUUAUGGUUAAUCUCAUUAGAACGUUUAUAUAUAUGGAAGCAAGCAAAGCCACAAGAAUCAGAGAAAAAGAUGUGAAAAUUAAAGUAUAUAUACAACAAUAAUUAAUCUAAAAAACAGUUUGCAAUACCUUCUGUAAAGAAAUAUCCUCACCCACUGCUGAGAACUUCACUUGGCUAUCAAUUACAGAUAUAUAAAGCCUGUUACCUAGAAACAAAAAAUUAGGUCAGCCAGCUAAAACAUAUUUAUAAACCAACAUUGGAGAUAGUACUCCAUUUAUAAACAAAAUUACAAGACUCAAAACCAAGUCGACUCAGCAAAAUCAUAACCGAUUACAUUCAUCCCACUCAGCUCCUCCACUCCCAUCAAUAUAUCCAACAUUCCCUUCAUAUUUACAAAAGGUAAGUGGUCCUAUAUAUCCCACUCAAGAAUGCAUAAGUUUCUUCAAUCUUAAGUAUCUAAAGUUUUCCUCUACGUUUAUAGAAACUUCGGAAGCAUCUCCCUAUAGUUCUUCAAGUACACGACAUAGAUAUAUGAAUGUUUAUGUGUUAUGCCAAAACAACACAUGACACCCAUUUGUCUAGUAUGCACCCAGAGAACAUGAGGAGCAGCUGCUGAAAAACCCAUUUUUACGUGGGAAAAAAAUUUCAGGCACUAGCUGCCAUAGAAAUCUAUGCAUUACCAAACUGUCCAAGCCUAGAUAUUUCAAGAAUUAUUAAUAGACAUAAGAUCCUCACUAUCAUCCAAAAGAUGACACUAAUAAAACAUGUGUCUAUUAAUAAUUUCUUAAAGGAGUUUAAGCUUUCAAUGCAUGUAUCAAAAGUUUAAAAUUGAAUCUGAAACUUGAAUAACACAUAAAAAUCAUAAAUCUCUUCAAUUUAUUCCUAAUAAAAUGUAGCAUUUUUUCACAUUUCAUUUCUUAAGCAAAACCAUAAAAAAUUACAAACAAUAAAUACAUUUUCUAGCACUGAUGCACAUUAUGUUUACUGAGCAAUAAGUUUUAAGUCAUUCAUAUUAAAAUACUUCUUCCUAUUCUAUCAACAAAUAACUAGUACGUACACACAAUUAAUAAAUUAAAUGUAACCUGGUUGUGAAUCUUGCAAAGUCUUCCUAUUUUUUUUUUUUUUUUUUGGUGGGGGGGGGGGGGGAGGGGGGAGGGGGUGGUUAUGCUCAUUUGUGUGUUGUUAACAGAAAUUGAUCCAAAGCCUCAGUUUUAAUUAGCUUCAUUAUAGCCAAUGAUUAGGUGUUUAAAAACCAAUGAAUAUUUUUUAUAAGAAAUCAACAAUAUUGUUGAAAGAAAAACCAAAUAAAAAUAAUAAAGCAAUGCAUAGAUUAAGGCUCUUUAUUAUCUAAUAACUAAUCAAACUAAGUUGUGGGUAAAGGAGAAUAUGUUUGUUUGGCCAAUAAUAAACUCAAGGAAUCACCAAUAAUCACCUAGUUACUAUUCCUUAUGCCAUGCAAUGUAAUGGCGUCGGUAAUGGCGACAAGGCAGGCAAUAACUAGCUAGCUAGUUAUGAUAGUUGCUUAACUUAACCUACUGGAAAUCUGAAGACCAAAAUGAAGAAACUUUGCCUAGAACUAGAAUAGGAAAACAUUCAUACCCAAAACCAAUAUACAUGAUUAAGAAACUUGAUUAUAUGUAUAUUUUUGUUUGCCACACCAAAUCCCACUAUUUCCAUACUCAUAAGCACAAAAAACCAUCGCAAAAAUGAAUGACCAUAUAAAAUAAAAUAGGUCGCAGGACAUUGAGAAUAGGACAAUAUGAUUUAUGUACUGUAAAAUAACUAUAUCUGCAGUCAACUAUAUUUCUGUUAGAACUCUAAAGUUUUCCAUUAAAUUUUUUUCCCUGUUAGGUAAACCACUUAACUGAAACACUUAAGCAAGAUUGACAAUCAUAGACAUAAAAGUAUUAAUAGGCUCAUUCAAGUGAAAUGAGCAUUAUUUCACAUAUCCUUUAGGCUUUUAAGUCAUUUAGAAGUCAUUCAUGUUAAACAAUUUCUUCAUAUACUUUCAAUAUAAUUAGUACAUACACAAUUAAUUAAUUAAAUAAAUCUGUUUCAGCUAGCACAGGAACUUAAGCAAUCAGAGCUAUUAGUUAUAGCUAGGACUUGAAUGAGGCACCUUUCAAAGUUCAAGAGGAGCAUCUGAACAGAAUGAAAGCAGUUUGUAGAAAUGGUAGUGAUGCUUUACAUCUACAUGCUCUUACACAAUAUGAACUUUCAUUUAUUCAAGAACAUAACACUAAUCCAAGCUCUUACUCUACAAGUCAAUUCAGUUUGUAGAUGCAAGCCAUUGUAAAAACUUUUGUGUUAUAAUUUCCGUAAAUGGAACAUGACAUUACUAAUAUAGAAUCAGCAAUGUUAUAUAACUUAUCAGACAAUAUAACAAGCACUUGGCGAGCAUAUAAGAUAAACUAAAACAAGUUAAUUAGAAAAUGAAACUAAAACCCAAGCUCCGCUAUUCAUUGUAGAAGCUUUAAACAUAAAAUUAAACUAAAUCUAAUGCCAAAACAUUAGAAUGGAUGUUGGAAUUAAAGCUAAAUUCAAUAGUAAUCCAAAUGAAUCCAUUUGAACUUUGUAAACUCCGCAGAACAAAAUUAAUUUGAGUGAGCAAACUCACCAAUGGCACAAGAACAGAAGGGCUUCAACUUCUAGGAACAAAAAACAUUGCCGGUGGGACAAAAAUUGACAUUAAUGGCUACAAUACGAAUUAAAGAGAUCAAAACCUAUAAUUACAAGCUAAGAAAGAGAGGAAACUCAUAAUCACAAGCUUACCUGAAACGAAGAGAGAGAAUAAGAUGAAGAAGAAGAUCGCUGCCGUUUUACGCCAUUCUCCGGCUACCAGUAAGGUUUAGGAUGCUGGCCAGGCACGAGAGAGAAUUUGGGACUUUGGUCUUCAAAAUAUUGACUCCAGCAAAUAGUUUUCUAUUUAGAAACAAAUUUAUAACUCUACCGUCA
rnacentral:lncRNA from 1 species